UACGAAGGGGGCUAGCGUUGUCCGGAUUUACUGGGCGUAAAGGAUGCGUAGGCGGAUAUUUAAGUGAGAUGUGAAAUACCCGGGCUUAACUUGGGUGCUGCAUUUCAAACUGGAUAUCUAGAGUGCGGGAGAGGAGAAUGGAAUUCCUAGUGUAGCGGUGAAAUGCGUAGAGAUUAGGAAGAACACCAGUGGCGAAGGCGAUUCUCUGGACCGUAACUGACGCUGAGGCAUGAAAGCGUGGGUAGCAAACAGG
rnacentral:rRNA from 1 species